rnacentral:rRNA from 1 species
UACGUAGGGAGCGAGCGUUGUCCGGAAUUACUGGGCGUAAAGGGUGCGUAGGCGGCAUGGCAAGUCAGAUGUGAAAUCCCCGGGCUUAACUCGGGUGGUGCAUUUGAAACUGCUGUGCUUGAGUGCAGGAGAGGAAAGCGGAAUUCCUAGUGUAGCGGUGAAAUGCGUAGAUAUUAGGAGGAACACCAGUGGCGAAGGCGGCUUUCUGGACUGUAACUGACACUGAGGCACGAAAGCGUGGGGAGCAAACAGGAUUAGAUACCCCCGUA